rnacentral:rRNA from 1 species
UACGUAGGGUGCAAGCGUUGUCCGGAAUUAUUGGGCGUAAAGAGCUCGUAGGCGGUCUGUCGCGUCGGCUGUGAAAACCCGGGGCUCAACCCCGGGCCUGCAGUCGAUACGGGCAGACUAGAGUGCGGUAGGGGGAGACUGGAAUUCCUGGUGUAGCGGUGAAAUGCGCAGAUAUCAGGAGGAACACCGGUGGCGAAGGCGGGUCUCUGGGCCGUAACUGACGCUGAGGAGCGAAAAGCGUGGGGGAGCGAACAGG